UAAUGAUAAUUACUAAACUGUUAUUUAUAGACAAUACUAGACAAGACAUCUAUCGAUGAGUACUAUUACAAAUAUCAACGUACUACAAGUCUCACCAAAUACAACAAAAGUAACUUCUAAAAAUUACUGCUUUAAAGCUCAAAAAUAUGCAUAAUCACACCAUCAUAUCCCAUCCUCGAUGGUAAACAAAAGUAACUUCUAAAAAAUACUACCUAAAAGAUCAACAUGCAUAUAUAAUCACGAGUCUCCAUCCUCGUUACUAUCGCCUGAAUCUUCAUCAUGCUCAUCCUCGACAUCAACAUCCUACAAGUAGUAGUACAUGGAAUGCAUGUCAAAUAUAUGAAAUGAAUGCAUGCAUUCUAAACAUAAGACUAAGAAAACUGAUUACAUACUAUGGUCUAUGAACAAACAUGAGCAACUUGCAGAUUGCACCUAUUUUAAGCAAUAAUCUCAGCACAAGUUUAUACAUAAGGUGCAACAAAUAGUACUACACCAACGAAAUGAGAAACCAUAUAUAUGUAGGUAAUAAAACCUAAAGCAUGUAACACGUAAAUCUGCAAUCACAUUUGGGUUUAGCCCAAACAACUUAUAGAAGAAAGCAAAUUUAACUCAUGUUUUAUCCUUGUACAUUACCAAAACAAACUGACUGACCGUCAUGUAACAUCAGGAAACCUCAAAAUAAGCAAGUUCUACAACACAAAUAUAUACCACAAGUUAAAAAAUAAAUAAAAAUUAAUCUUUUAACAACAAGAAGGAAAUUCACAUCACUUUUCUAAAGUUAUAAUUUUAAGAAAGUAAGACAUAACGGCUUUCACUCAAAAACUUCCACAGUAACUCGUAAUUUCCAGAAAUUCCCUUAAAGUUGAUUAAAAGAUUAA
rnacentral:lncRNA from 1 species